rnacentral:misc_RNA from 1 species
GGGGUGGGCAUGUCCAGCGCAAGUCUUCUCCUUGGUGAGCUUGUAGAUUAGGACGGAGAUGCCGACGGCAUGGAUGGCCUCGGCGGCGACGAAGAGGUUGUCAUGGUCGUGGACGACGAACCAGAGUAGACCGAGUGACGCCAUGCCGGUCAUCACGGCGAGGCACGCCUUCACCUUGGGCGGCUGCCGGCGCACCCACGCCGCCGCAACGCCGAUCGGCCGCCGGGGUCCCCUCAUCGUCUCCGAUAGCAACGGGCGGAAAGAUCGC